CCGCGGUAAUACAGAGGGUGCGAGCGUUAAUCGGAAUUACUGGGCGUAAAGCGCGCGUAGGCGGCUUUGCAAGUCGGGUGUGAAAUCCCCAGGCUUAACCUGGGAACUGCACUCGAGACUGCAUUGCUAGAGUAUGGGAGAGGGAAGUGGAAUUUCCGGUGUAGCGGUGAAAUGCGUAGAUAUCGGAAGGAACAUCAGUGGCGAAAGCGACUUCCUGGACCAAUACUGACGCUCAUGUGCGAAAGCGUGG
rnacentral:rRNA from 1 species